CUUUUUUUUUUUUUUUUGCACAUAAAAUGAAGCAGCUUUCAAGUUCAGUAAGUCUUUAUACUGCAAAAAAAAAAAAACCAUUGAAGUACAUUCACAAUCUAUGUUAAUAAAGUAGUAAAUAUUUCUUCAUCCAGCCGUAUUUACAGUCAUACCGUCAGGAAACGGAAAAGUACAGUCAUUUGUAAUAUAGCAAUCUUUGAACACAUACAAAAAUGACCAUUUUCUGUAUAUAAUUUAAGCUCAAAAUCACAAUUAUAUCUCAAAAUAUUAAUUACAAUACAGCCAUCUCCAUCAUAAUUAAACAUGUCUCUUUUUUUUUNNNNNNNNNNUCUCACCCUUCCCUGAGGAUCCUCAGUGAAGUGUUUAUUGCAUGGGAAAAAUCUAAAAAAAGGUGGCCAUCACCUGCCUCAGCACUCGCCACAUCAUCCUACCUCGUAAAAAAAUUAAAAUAACUAAUAUCAUAAUUAGAAGCAAAGGCUGCUGACCCAGGUGUACAGGACCGUGUCUGGGGGGGCCCAGGAAAGGCCAAAGUGCGAGUCAUUUUGAAGGACUAAUAUAAAGGAUUAAUAUAAAAAUCCUAAGUAGUCCCAUUAAAAUAAUUUUAAUUGCUCAUAAUAUUAGCGCCAGCUAAACACUGUUUCAGCCAAUUAAAAAUAAUGGCAAAAAGAAAGUAUUUGGUAUUUUCGGGGGGGUGGGGGUUGAUAUUAAAACUUUGCUACUGUGUGUUUCGGCUUCUCCCCCUGACCCUUUUCCCCGGUUGGCAGGAAUUUUCCUAAGUUAAGGACUGAGACUCCUCUGCACUAACCUUAUUUUAUUAAUUCUAAUUUAAUUCUGAUUUCCCUUUCAGCAGUUUGCAGGGGGCCCGUGCACGGCCCGGCCUGCGGGUGCUGCUCCGCUUCCCACCGACCCAGGCUGUGGAAAAGCAGCCGAGCACAAAAGAUUGGGAUUUUAUGGGAUUCCCAAGCACUAAAACUCACUGUUUUUUUUUUUUUUCUCCAGUUUAUCCAGUUUCUCCUGCAGGUCGUUACCCUGGUUCCAGGCCUCAGGCAGAGCCCUGGCCCUCCCCACCACCGUGGGUCACAGACUGUCACCAUCACAGGAGCCAAAGCUGCUGCCUUUUUUUACUUACUUACUUAUUUACUUACUUACUUACUUUACUUACUUACUUAUUUACUGCCUUUUCCUGCCCAAAGCCCAGUCCCGGGAAGGAUUUCUGACUAUGGGCUGUGAUUUUCUGCAUGAAAAGACAAAGUCAGCUCCACAGAGGAAUUUAGGUGCAAAAAUGCCUAUUUAGGGACCUAAUCCCCAUCCAACAUAACCAACUAGCAGCUACCUACAAUUUUCCAAAUUUGAUACUGAAUAAACCCAGGUUAUUUUUUUUUUUUUUUACA
rnacentral:lncRNA from 1 species